CAACCAGCAUUAUCGCGCGAUUUUUAUGUGUAUCUAUCAUUUUUCUCAUUCUAACAUUCAAACAAUUUUUCAUUCUGCCUCGCUCUUCUGGGUGUUGGUCUGUAUUUGCUUGCGACUUGGCUGUGUCGCAUCAACGAUUCGCAUGUUUCAUUUAGCUCAUCCCUUUCCAUCGUUGGAGAGAAACUCUUGCGUCUCGCUUUUCUGGGACUUGUCCAAAUUCGCUUGCUACACCAAUCGUUCACGCAAGCGUUCUCCUCUCGCCCGCUCUUUGUAUCAUUGUACAGGUACUCCCCGAUAUACGCUAUCAAUGCGUACCGGAGGCAAUAGCGUAUCUCGAAUAUACAAUAGCGAAAGUCGAAUUUCGAGGUUUUCAGUCAAAUUAUAACUAAUAUCCGUAUAACUUUGCAUGAAGUGGUAGGUUUUAGCCACUUAAUUAGUUAUUUGAUCUAAUUUCAACUGAAUUUUUCAAUUUUAUACCAUUUGAAAUGGUUUUUAAUAUUCAACCAAAAUGGAAUUUAUUUUGCAUUUGACAUUCGAUUUCUAAAAUUAGUACUACUUGUUCAAAGAACCGUCAAAUUUAGAAAAAAAGCGUAUAGCGAAAUCGUGUAUAUCGAGUAUGGCGUAUAUCGGGGAAUACCUGUAUAGGAACACGAGGAAGGCGCUGCUUCGCGUUCACAUGAAAAUGUGGUAGUGUGAAAUCAAGUUUGCAAGCGGUAGGACGCGUCGGUGUGUGUCCGUUUUUUCUCUCGUGAAACCAGUACGGAAAAACUAUUUGAAAUCGUAACACACGCACGAACGGAAGUGAGCACGGACCACAACAGAAGCAAUAUUCAAUUGGUUGGUAAGUAUUGUGCUUGACGUUAAAUUGAACAGCUGUUGGCAAAAUAGUUAAUAUUUCCUUCUAUCCCUAGGAGUGCCGAAAACAGAACAGGAGAGGAAAGAAGGCAGGAACGAUCCGAUCCUCCAACGUGCUAGCGCCUGGUAGAGGAGAAGCGGCAGGAAGGUAGAGACGAACAUCCAGCUCGCUAGUGCAGCACGUGGGAGCAGCAAGAGGGAAGCAAGCAGGACGCGUACACACCAUUCGACGAAGGCAAAGCUGGAGGAAAGGAAGAACGAGGAGAGAAGGCAGGCAAGACGGGUACGUGUGUAUCCCGCACCGGUUUUUGGCAGUGUGAAAUGUGAGUAUUGAAAAGUGUAUGUGUGAGUAGAAGUAAAGAGGUAAAAUAAAGAGCGAAUGUGUGGAAUGAGAAAAUGAAA